rfam:Oenococcus kitaharae DSM 17330 chromosome, whole genome shotgun sequence.
GCGAAUGUAGCUCAGUGGUAGAGCUCCAGCCUUCCAAGCUGGCUAUGCGGGUCCGAUUCCCGUCAUUCGCU